rnacentral:rRNA from 1 species
AUACGGAGGAUCCGAGCGUUAUCCGGAUUUAUUGGGUUUAAAGGGUGCGCAGGCGGCCAUUUAAGACAGCGGUUAAAUCGUGGGGCUCAACCCCAUUCUGCCGUUGAUACUGGGUGGCUUGAUUGCGGUCGAGGUUGGCGGAAUUCGUUGUGUAGCGGUGAAAUGCAUAGAUAUGACGAAGAACACCGAUUGCGUAGGCAGCUGACCAGAUCGCAAAUGACGCUCAUGCACGAAAGUGCGGGGAUCGAACAGGAUUAGAUACCCUGGUAGUCCGCACAGUAAACGAUGAAUACUUGUUUUCGGCGAUAUAAUGUCGGAGGCAAAGCGAAAGCGAUAAGUAUUCCACCUGGGGAGUACGCCGGCAACGGUGAAACUCAAAUGAAUUGACGGGG